UAUGCGCAAGUCAGCGGUUCCCAGGAGGAUGAGCUGCUGACUGGCCGCCAAGGGUGAGAGGCCGUGGGAAGGCGAUCUGGACUGAGGCCUGGAGGAAUGUGGGAAGCACCAAGCAGGCAGGAAAGUGGGGGUGUCAGCACGGAAAGGGCCAGCAGUGGGAGAGCCUGCGGCUAGGCACCUGGGCUGCCAGCACCACUGACUUGUUGGGAGAGCAGCUGAGCAUGGAAUACUUAGCACACUCAAGUACACAUGGACCAGGCACCGAGUCUAAGAAUGUGGUCGUCAUUCCAGCCAUGAGGGAAAUGCCUGGAACAUUCUGGAAAUGCAGACCCAGUGUCCUGACAUGGGAGAGAUAAUGAAUCAACCCUAAAUUGCCCACCUCUAGGCAUCUUGAUAGAGAAUGAUCUUAUAAGGAUUCUGCAGCUUC